rnacentral:rRNA from 1 species
AACGAACGCUGGCGGCAUGCCUAACACAUGCAAGUCGAACGAGACCUUCGGGUCUAGUGGCGCACGGGUGCGUAACGCGUGGGAACCUGCCCUUAGGUUCGGAAUAACUCCCCGAAAGGGGUGCUAAUACCGGAUAAUGUCUUCGGACCAAAGAUUUAUCGCCUUUGGAUGGGCCCGCGUUGGAUUAGCUAGUUGGUAGGGUAAAAGCCUACCAAGGCGACGAUCCAUAGCUGGUCUGAGAGGAUGAUCAGCCACACUGGGGCUGAGACACGGCCCAGACUCCUACGGGAGGCGGCAGUGGGGAAUAUUGGACAAUGGGCGAAAGCCUGAUCCAGCAAUGCCGCGUGAGUGAUGAAGGCCUUAGGGUUGUAAAGCUCUUUUACCCGGGAUGAUAAUGACAGUACCGGGAGAAUAAGCUCCGGCUAACUCCGUG